rnacentral:rRNA from 1 species
CCAGACUCCUACGGGAGGCAGCAGUGGGGAAUAUUGCACAAUGGGGGAAACCCUGAUGCAGCGACGCCGCGUGAGUGAAGAAGUAAUUCGUUAUGUAAAGCUCUAUCAGCAGGGAGGAAAAUGACGGUACCUGAGUAAGAAGCCCCGGCUAACUACGUGCCAGCAGCCGCGGUAAUACGUAUGGUGCAAGCGUUAUCCGGAUUUACUGGGUGUAAAGGGAGCGCAGGCGGCACGGCAAGCCUGAUGUGAAAGCCCGCGGCCCAACCGCGGGACUGCAUUGGGAACUACCGGGCUGGAGUGCCGGAGAGGUAGGCGGAAUUCCUAGUGUAGCGGUGAAAUGCGUAGAUAUUAGGAGGAACACCAGUAGCGAAGGCGACUAUCUGGCACAUAACUGACGCUGAGGAGCGAAAGCGUGGGUAGCAAACAGGAUUAGAUACCCCGGUA